rnacentral:rRNA from 1 species
GACGAACGCUGGCGGCGUGCCUAAUACAUGCAAGUAGAACGCACAGUUUAUACCGUAGCUUGCUACACCAUAGACUGUGAGUUGCGAACGGGUGAGUAACGCGUAGGUAACCUGCCUGGUAGCGGGGGAUAACUAUUGGAAACGAUAGCUAAUACCGCAUAAUAUUGAUUAUUGCAUGAUAAUUGAUUGAAAGAUGCUAUUGCAUCACUACCAGAUGGACCUGCGUUGUAUUAGCUAGUAGGGGAGGUAACGGCUCACCUAGGCGACGAUACAUAGCCGACCUGAGAGGGUGAUCGGCCACACUGGGACUGAGACACGGCCCAGACUCCUACGGGAGGCAGCAGUAGGGAAUCUUCGGCAAUGGACGAAAGUCUGACCGAGCAACGCCGCGUGAGUGAAGAAGGUUUUCGGAUCGUAAAGCUCUGUUGUAAGAGAAGAACGGGUGUGAGAGUGGAAAGUUCACAAUGUGACGGUAUCUUACCAGAAAGGGACGGCUAACUACGUG